rnacentral:rRNA from 1 species
AUAUAUGGCCAUACUGCCCCAAAUGCAUCUGCUCUCAUCUGGUCUCAGAAGCUCAGCAGGGUCAGGUGUGGUUGGUACUAGGAUGGGAGAAAUAGACAGGCAGGAUGAU